rnacentral:rRNA from 1 species
UACGUAGGUGGCAAGCGUUGCCCGGAAUUAUUGGGCGUAAAGCGCGCGCAGGCGGUCCUUUAAGUCUGAUGUGAAAGCCCACGGCUCAACCGUGGAGGGUCAUUGGAAACUGGGGGACUUGAGUACAGAAGAGAAGAGUGGAAUUCCACGUGUAGCGGUGAAAUGCGUAGAGAUGUGGGGGAACACCAGUGGCGAAGGCGACUCUUUGGUCUGUAACUGACGCUGAGGCGCGAAAGCGUGGGGAGCAAACAGG